CAGCAGUGGCACAACACUUGGAAGAGAGUCCUCUAAGUAAUUUUCCCUCAAAAUGAUCUUUGCUCCCCUUAGAAUCACAGACUAAAGCCAGGUAUGGUGGUGCACACUUGUAAUCACAGCACUUGAGAGGCUGAGGCAAGAGGGUCCUGCAUUCAAGGCCAGCCACAGCUACACAGUGUUUGAGCCCAGUUGAACUACAGAGCAAGACCCUGUCUCUACAAAGAAAAGAAAAGUGAGAAGCAAACAAACCAAAAAGCAUGUUAAAAAUGCAGUUUAAAAAAGAAUCACAGAAUGUCUGUUGGAAAAGACCUUGGACUCAUCCCUGCACUGAAGGACACCAAGGCCUAUAUAAUAUAAGUAAUUUGGAUCUGACAGACAGGCAGCUGUUUGAGCGGAAUAAGUCUGUCAUCCCUGAUAGCUGGCUUUCUGUGUUGUCUUUGAACUUCAGUGUCUCUCCCAGGAUGUAAGCCUUCUGCACUGGGGAUGCUCCUUCUAAUCCAAGCCUCCUUCGCAAUGAAGCAGCCACAGCCUAAGGCAGGGCGGUGUGGCUGCUCCUCCACCCAGAGCUCUGUAGCUUUGGAUGUCACAUGUGAAAAACAGGAGAAUUGCAUCCAGGUCUCCUGUAUGCCAGAGGCUGUUCUUAAUUGAAAACCACCCAAGUGAGAUAGAUGGUCAGAAGAGUGAGUAGCAAGCUCACAUGAGUUCCUGGACUGUGGAUGUGACCUACAAGUGUUACUGAGUAACCAUUCUGAAAUGGAUACUUAGCAAUUAUUAACCAGCAGCUCCUGUUUCUGGUCUUUCUAUAAACAGCAAUUCCUAAAUCCAGGGUCCAUCAUUCUCAACCCUUGUCUUACAUCCCAGGGAGGCAUUCAAGAUGGGUGUUCCUCCUAAGGGAAAGAAACAACAAAAAGAGUGCAUCCCUUGGUUUAGAGAUGCUUUCUGGGAGUUUAACAUCCACUCCCAACUGGAGCACAGCGCUACGAACAGUGCUUUCUGCCUGACAGUGUUGGUCUGAGACCGUGCUCAUUUGCAGUGUAACAGAGUUGACGUUUUUCUCUUCAUCUCCGUCAUCAAGGUUGUCUUACAUUCUUGUGCAGCGAAUGGUUGCCCAAGUUCUGAGUUCCAUUCCAGGAUUCCUCCGUCCCCUAAAUCAUUUAUAAAUUUGUAGACAUGACAAUUCACUUUCUGGGAAGGGCAGGGUACUGGGGAUUGAAGCAAAGGCCCUCACAAUAAGUUACAUCCUCAGUGCCCAUGCUCUCUCUUUCUCUCCUUCCCCCUUUUUCUUUCAUUUCUCCCAUUUUUUUUAAACAAGGCCAGGCUGGGCUUCAAAUUGUGAUCUUCCUGCCUUGGCUUCCCAAAGUACCGGCACUGCAGGUAUGACCACCAUAAAAGAGCCACUCUUCACUAUAAAAUGCUGAGUUUUGUCACAAGUCAUUCCUAAUAUUAAUAAAACAUAUCAUUUAAACAUGAUUUUAAUAAUUCAUAUUUAUUAGUUUAAUAUCAAUUCAAUGCAAACAUCAGCAAAUACUUAGCCCGAGGUGGUUCUACUGUUAAGAAGCACUAGGAUUCACACUCAGGUCUCCAGAACCUUGUUUCCUUCCACUGUACCCUUUUCUACCUUCAAGAAACCUAAAUUCUGACUCUUCUCAUGCAAGGGGAAAUGUUACAUUUCCCUUUGCAGGAACGCUUGUUCUUUCCUAUAUAUUAUCAUGAAUUUCCAGGCAUCAGGCCAUAUUUGGAACGUGAACAUGGGUUUAUUCCUAAAAUUGCCAGCUGGCAAUAGAUGAAAAUAGUACCUGAAUAAUUGGUUUACUGAUGACAGAUCAAUAAAGGGACACAGACUAUGACAGGUAUGGCUGGGUCUUGAUGAAGGGCAAGUGCAAAUGCUCAUUUUACUCCCCAUAGCUGUCUCUUCUUGUGUGAAAAUCUAGACCAGUCAGUGCCCGUCUGCUGAUAGCUCAGCC